rnacentral:rRNA from 1 species
CCUACGGGUGGCAGCAGUGGGGAAUAUUGGACAAUGGGGGGAACCCUGAUCCAGCCAUGCCGCGUGUGUGAAGAAGGCCCUCGGGUUGUAAAGCACUUUCAGUGAGGAAGAACGCCUGGUGGUUAAUACCCAUCAGGAAAGACAUCACUCACAGAAGAAGCACCGGCUAACUCCGUGCCAGCAGCCGCGGUAAUACGGAGGGUGCGAGCGUUAAUCGGAAUUACUGGGCGUAAAGCGCGCGUAGGUGGCUUGAUAAGCCGGUUGUGAAAGCCCCGGGCUCAACCUGGGAACGGCAUCCGGAACUGUCAAGCUAGAGUGCAGGAGAGGAAGGUAGAAUUCCCGGUGUAGCGGUGAAAUGCGUAGAGAUCGGGAGGAAUACCAGUGGCGAAGGCGGCCUUCUGGACUGACACUGACACUGAGGUGCGAAAGCGUGGGUAGCAAACAGGAUUAGAUAUCCCUGUAGUC